rnacentral:rRNA from 1 species
AACGAACGCUGGCGGCAGGCCUAACACAUGCAAGUCGAACGCUCUAGCAAUAGAGAGUGGCAGACGGGUGAGUAACGCGCGGGAAACUUCCUAGGGGUACGGAAUAGCUCAGGGAAACUUGGGGUAAUACCGUAUGAUGCCGAGAGGCCAAAGAUUUAUCGCCCUUAGAUGUGCCCGCGUCGGAUUAGCUAGUUGGUGAGGUAACGGCUCACCAAGGCGACGAUCCGUAGCUGGUUUGAGAGAAUGACCAGCCACACUGGGACCGAGACACGGCCCAGACUCCUACGGGAGGCAGCAGUGGGGAAUCUUGGACAAUGGGCGCAAGCCUGAUCCAGCCAUGCCGCGUGAGUGACGAAGGCCUUAGGGUUGUAAAGCUCUUUUGCCGGGGACGAUAAUGACGGUACCCGGAGAAUAAGUCCCGGCUAACUUCGUGCCAGCAGCCGCAGUAA